AACGCCCAAUUGGUUGCUUUCUCUUUUUUCCUGAACCAAAACCGAGAUCCAGGCUGCAGCCAAUGGUAACCUAAAGUAAUCUGGUGUAGAGAGACUUACCUCGUCACUGACCAGCACGUGGAUGCCAGUGGGACCCUGUUUGAAGAUCUGAUUAAUCUGCCUGGGGGAGAUGUUAAAGAGCUGAGCAAUCUUCUCCGUCAGCUCGCCAGCUGUGAGCUCCUCCAGGUAAAUGGCGUGAUAUAC